CGGUCGUGCAUGGCGAAGUCGCUGACAAGAUGAAAGGAGUUUACAGUAUAAAAGUUUGGUGAUUAUUGUCAUGUUUAUAACCCUUUUACGUCUCAAUUUAUUUGUUUUGUCGCUCCCCUAGAGGGGAAACGUGCCGAAAUUGGCCGCAUCACGAGUAAACACGCGAAAGUUUCCCAAGAAAUCGCGGAGGAAACUUUCGACAACACCAGCAUUUCGAGACCACAAAUUCCCGAAGUGGACAAAACUAAUCCGGUAAUGAAUGGGCCUGUUUCAGACGAUCAAGACGACGUAGAUUCAAAGGAAGGUGAGCUUUGGUUUGAUCAUUAUACCAGUGUGAACGUUUUAACCAUGCAAUGUCUGCAGACAUUGUUUACAAUAGAG